AAGUCGUAACAAGGUUUCCGUAGGUGAACCUGCGGAAGGAUCAUUAAUGAAUUUUUAGGGCGCUCUUUUUAGAGGUCCGACCAAUUUCAUUUCCACACACCGUGAACACACUUCAUUUUUACACACAAUUUAUAAACACACAAGUCUAUAAGAAUGAAUAAAGUCUCUUAAUUGAGCAUAAAGUUAUAAUACAACUUUCGGCAACGGAUCUCUUGGCUCUC
rnacentral:misc_RNA from 1 species